AAUUCAGCAUUUUGCAACCAUCCAAAAAUGUUGAGGGCAUGCUUUGCUUCCAGGGCAGACAGAGCAGCACAGUGAGCAUGGGACACAGGAUCCCUGACUUGCUGUGUGCCCUUAAACCAGCCACUACCUCUCUGACGUUCAAAAUUGAGCAAUGGAAGGCAGCCUGCCCAACUGUUACCUGCCUGUCAUCAUGAAAGCCUGCGGAUGAGUACACAAAAUGGACAAUGUUGACAUGCUGAACACAUCAGCCCCCACAGCCAACCCCCCAACUCUGCUCCAUUCCUGCCACUCAAGGGAAGAGAUGAACAUGCAAGCAAUAAUAUCACACAGAGAUCUUGAACCCUCGCCUCACAUACAAUAAAAUGUACCUUGUUUGC
rnacentral:lncRNA from 10 species